AGUGUAAAGCUUACUGCCUUUCUGUUUUGAGAGUUUUGAAAACGGCAGUCAUGGCUGUGUUUGGAGUCAACUACAAUCCAACUCCAUCUUGCUUGUUUCAGUUAUGGGAUUGCUCGAAACGCGGGCUACAAAAAGAGAAGACCCCGUAGUCUGUUCGUUUUCUUGACAAUGAAUGAAAAAAGAAAUAUUAGCAGAGGUAACUCUGCCUGGUGAACUGUGUGGUUUUCCAUCGAUAAACUACUGACUGCUGUUAAGGUCUGAUUUCUCUGUGUGCUCCUGGAAGUUGUAAGAAGUGUGCAGUCACCCAGUACUGCUCUGUAGACAUUGGAAUACACCCGUCGUGAAGGAUGAGGGGUGAGCUUCGUCUCGAUCAGGAGAUCUGUGUCGGGCAUGGGCACCGCCGUUUCUAUUCAGUGCUCCCCUGGAGGAGGUCUUUGCGUCAUGAUGUCAAGCUGGGCUUGCCAAGUUGCUCUCAGCUCGUGUAGCAAACUGUUCGUUAGCAGCAUGUAGCGACACAUUUUAAACGGAGACGGAUUCAGUCACUUUGGAUUUGUCACAAGCAUGCUGAGAAUCUAAAUAAAACAUUUGAAACUUUUUUUUUUUUGUGGGGGUGGGUUAAGGAAUAUUUAGGUGUCGGGUGAUUUAAAUUUGCAUUGCUGUUCACAUUAUGACUUGCUGUGAUUACUGUUUAAUAUGAGGACACAUGGGUUCAAUUGACUGUGAAGAACAUCUGCAGUGUAUCCUGUAACAAAAUCUACAUUGGUUCACAAGGGUUUCUUUUUUUCUAAAUGUUGAUUGUGAUUGAUUAGAAGUUAUGGGUGAAUUACAUCUGCAAUCUUAACAUGUUGAGAAGAAACAGCUGGUUACAAUAUCUUAAAGGAUUUGCUGCUUCCACCUUGUACGCACGCUGAUCAAGGCCUUAGCCAAAGCAGCCUGUUGGCCUUCCAGUUUAGCAGUGGUGGGGCUGAAAGUAAUGCGUUCUGCACCACAGCCCAUGCGUGUGUGCUUUGGUCUAUCUUUCAGUAAUGUAAACCCAUCCUUCAGUAGGAAGCUAUACUAACGUCCUGUCAAUCGCAAGUCCCUGUUUCUAUGUGAGUGAAAGUUUUUAAGUGGUUUCUAUGAUCAACCGCAAGCGGUACAUAGUAAAAGCAUUUCCAGUCCAAGCUUGUUGUUUUUCUAAGGCUGAGUGUUUGAACUUGAAUUGCAUUUAAUUAGAGGUCAGCGGGGGUCUUUCAACUAGUCAUCUGUGUUUUUCUCUAGCCACACAAAUACUGACCAAAACCGGAAACUUACGGUUAGCAUCCUAUACUGCAGUCAUUACACAUCUAAACUAGUUCAUGUUUGGCAGUGAAUAUGCAUUUUUGUUACUUAAAAGAAAAAGUGACCGGUGGUACCGACUUCUUCUGUUGUCCUGACAGAAACAUUUCGUGGUACUUUUGUAGGUACUGCGGUGAGGACGUAGAAUGGGUUACCUAGUCAUGAAACACAGUAACGCUACAAAGUUUUGAGAUAAAUCACCUACUAUGAACCGGGUGAACAUUGAUGGGCAAAAUGGCCUCUUCUUUUUUGUUAAUGUUCCUAUGUUCUAUUAAUCCCU